AGUGAACGCUGGCGGUAGGCCUAACACAUGCAAGUCGAACGGCAGCACAGUAAGAGCUUGCUCUUACGGGUGGCGAGUGGCGGACGGGUGAGGAAUACAUCGGAAUCUACUUUUUCGUGGGGGAUAACGUAGGGAAACUUACGCUAAUACCGCAUACGACCUACGGGUGUAAGCAUGGGAUCUUCGGACCUUGCGCGAUUGAAUGAGCCGAUGUCGGAUUAGCUAGUUGGCGGGGUAAAGGCCCACCAAGGCGACGAUCCGUAGCUGGUCUGAGAGGAUGAUCAGCCACACUAGAACUGAAACACGGUCCAGACUCCUACGAGAGGCAGCAGUGGGGAAUAUUGGACAAUGGGCGCAAGCCUGAUCCAGCCAUACCGCGUGGGUGAAGAAGGCCUUCGGGUUGUAAAGCCCUUUUGUUGGGAAAGAAAAGCAGCAGGUUAAUACCCCGCUGUUCUGACGGUACCCAAAGAAUAAGCACCGGCUAACUUCGUG
rnacentral:rRNA from 1 species